ensembl:lncRNA LINC01018 long intergenic non-protein coding RNA 1018
AAAGAUGGGGCGGCGCGGCCGGGGCUCGCCAGCACCAGCCCUGGAACCCCAUGGGGGACCUCGACAACAGCGCCUUUGCGGCGUGGGCCCCUUUCUGCAGCUCCUCCACCCGCGCGCUGUCGGCUCCGGGACACUGGGGCUUUGAAGGGCGCCAGUUCCCAGCCGCACCUGCACGCCUAGGAGGGCGCAGGCCGCGUGUCCCUGUGGGAGGAAGGCCCCGGCAACCUGCAAAGACCUCACGUCACAGAAACUUGCGGCGUUUGCCCCCGAUGCGCGCGUCAGGUGCUCCGUCCCUUCCAGGUGGCAGAGGAGAGGGAAGGGUCGCGCCUGGUGGGGGCCUGAGAGCCACCGGGCUGCGGUGCGCGAGUGUGGACACCGCCCCGCCUUCUGCGUCUACAGCCCUGGGUUCUGGGACCUUUGGAAACCGCUUUGGACGAAGCUGAGCAUCUCUUUCCCCACGCUGACCUCCCCCAUAGACUCCGGAUGGGAGUAAAUGAGGCUCCUGGGAAAUCCAGAAACUCUAGAGAAGCUUGUUUGCCAAACCUUGCUUUGGGCGGUGGAGACAGAAUAUCAUGUCCCAGAUCAGCGUGUGGUGACUGUGGAGGCAUUUACACACAGCACACUCCAGCUCUGCCACUGGGCCGGCUGAGGUGGCUGCGGUACACGGCGCCCAUCCUGAGCCCCAGGUUCCUCACAUGUCAACAGCAUGAAAAGUGCCUCUAAGACAUCCACAGGUGUGCAGUGUUAAAGCAGUGAUUUGGAGGUUAUACUUCCUAUUGCUGUCUUUCUAAUCAUUACUCAACCAUGUGAACAGACGUAUUGAAGUGGUGGAGCAGAUAAGGAGGUCUUCAGGUCUGGAGCUGUCCAGGAGCUGAGACAGUCUCAGCUGGUAGCUGGGACACUCUUGGGGAGUUCCCCCAGCUGAAGAAAGUCUCCCUGCCGAAGUCAUGAUCUUUCCCAGGGCAGCCCACACCCCACAUCUAACGGCUGGUUGAUGUUGGAGGUGCGGUGUCAACUCUCACCCCAACUCUGCCACGUCAUGCAGCUCCAGAGCACCCCGUGGGACCCGCUGGGGCCUGUCAUGCCUGCGACACAGCCCCAUGUCUCCUUCAGCCCCAUCCACCCAACCCUGCUUCUUUCACUCAGCUGCAGGGAAUGAUCCAAACUUCCUGCACGCAAAUCUCUAGCGCAGAGUGUUUCCCAGGGAAACUGGCUUCCAAAGAUUGAUUUGUCUAACAAGUUCUAACACACACCAUAAUAUACAAAUGGGCAGGGCCGAUCGUGAAAGGUGAUCAGUUUUAUGAAGAGGCUUAUCUGUGUGCUGGUUCUGGUAAUAUCCCAUUAGUACAUUCUCUGGACCCUUUAUAUUGUAGUUGUUUAAAAUGGGUUGAAAUUUCAGAGAUCUUGAUACUGGAAAAUGUCAUUUGUUGUAACCAAAAUCCACCUGGAAAAGCAUACCACAGAUAUUUCAAUUUUAAUUGUAAAGUGAAGUUGUUCUCUUGACACCAACAAUUAUCUUAUAAAUAACCUAAUGACCUAAUCAGAACACAAAUUUGCAUCAAUUGCCGGGUGCUUGGAUACUUGGAGUGCAGGGCCAAUGUUUUCUAGUUUUUAUUAGUUUUUCAUAAGGUAGUUUAAAAUAAUCUUUGAUGCUGAAGUUUGGCAUUGAGGAUGUGAGAGGUAGGUAGUAGAAAUUCGUGUUUGACAUUAAAAAGCAGUCAGUUAUGCAAUUCUGUGUUUCCCGCUGCAACCAGCUCCAGGGUGCCCUGACACUGACAGCUCAGCAGAAGGGCACGAGGUACCUCCUCCCCAGACCAAUAAAAGGAAAUUAGAACAAGAACACAUGAACUAUGUGAUGCUCCUUGGUUCUCAGGGCUGUGAUUCAGUGACUAUGUUAGUUUCUGCUAGUAUUGAAGAUUUUGCAGCAGGCAAAUAUGUGAGCAAAGAUGACAUUUAAGUUCUAUAUGCUUCACCCACCUUAUCUUUGGAUCCCCCAGUCAAAAAGUUUUAUUCACUAGCAAAUAGAUAAAUAAAUGAUUAUCAGUAAAUGUGCUGUCUUAGCACCUCGCACCCCAACCAGCCCCCACCUUGAAACACUAGCUGUCAGGUGCCGUUCUCAGUGCACUGCACAUAUGUUGGGGUGAUCAGACCCAACACCAGGUCGUGGGGGUGACGAAGUCUGGCAGAGUCAAAGGAUUGAGAAAAAGUUUGAGAAGUAAAGUGGGGCCAGGGGACCAUCGCGAUCAUGGAGGCUGCAAAGGCCCCGAGCUCUGGGAGCCCACGCUAUUUAUUGGUAAUCCAACAGAGAAGGAGGUGGCCAGAAUGUGGGGGUCAAAAGGGCGUGUUGCAUCAAGCACAUGAUUUAUAGCUGUGAUGGUUUAGCAUUUGCUCUACUUGAGAUAAUGGAGAGCAGGUUCUUUUAACUCAAGAUACAAUCGAUCCUGGGAGAGCAAGGAGCAAGGAGCCAGCAAGCCUAGACACAUUCCGGAGCCACAAGCCCUGGAUUCUAUCCAAGCCACGAGGGAUUUUAUGCCCUGGGC